rnacentral:rRNA from 1 species
UACGGGGGGGGCGAGCGUUGUCCGGAAUCACUGGGCGUAAAGGGCGCGUAGGCGGCUUUGCAAGCGUGCGGUGAAAGCUCGGGGCUUAACUCCGAGUCUGCCGUGCGAACUGUGAGGCUUGAGUCUGGUAGAGGUCGAUGGAAUUCCGGGUGUAGCGGUGGAAUGCGUAGAGAUCCGGAGGAACACCAGCGGCGAAGGCGGCAUCCUGGACUGGUCCUGACACUCAUGAGCGAAAGCGUGGGGAGCGAUCGG